AAACCCAAGGAUGAAAUCUGACCGCCCCAGUCUGAGUACGAUGACUGACUGGCUAUUCUGAGGGUGG